rnacentral:rRNA from 1 species
UACGGAGGGUGCAAGCGUUAUCCGGAUUCACUGGGUUUAAAGGGUGCGUAGGCGGGCAGGUAAGUCAGUGGUGAAAUCUUUGGGCUUAACCCGAAAACUGCCAUUGAUACUAUCUGUCUUGAAUAUUGUGGAGGUUUGCGGAAUAUGUCAUGUAGCGGUGAAAUGCUUAGAUAUGACAUAGAACACCUAUUGCGAAGGCAGCUCACUAAACUGUAACUGACGCUGAGGCACGAAAGCGUGGGGAGCAAACAGG